ACGAACGCUGGCGGCGUGCUUAACACAUGCAAGUCGCACGGAAAGGCCCUGCUUUUGUGGGGUGCUCGAGUGGCGAACGGGUGAGUAACACGUGAGUAACCUGCCCUUGACUUUGGGAUAACUUCAGGAAACUGGGGCUAAUACCGGAUAGGAGCUCCUGCUGCAUGGUGGGGGUUGGAAAGUUUCGGCGGUUGGGGAUGGACUCGCGGCUUAUCAGCUUGUUGGAGGGUAGUGGCUUACCAAGGCUUUGACGGGUAGCCGGCCUGAGAGGGUGACCGGCCACAUUGGGACUGAGAUACGGCCCAGACUCCUACGGGAGGCAGCAGUGGGGAAUAUUGCACAAUGGGCGGAAGCCUGAUGCAGCAACGCCGCGUGCGGGAUGACGGCCUUCGGGUUGUAAACCGCUUUCGCCUGUGACGAAGCGUGAGUGACGGUAAUGGGUAAAGAAGCACCGGCUAACUACGUG
rnacentral:rRNA from 1 species